AUACGUAGGGGGCGAGCGUUGUCCGGAAUGAUUGGGCGUAAAGGGCGCGUAGGCGGCGCGGUAAGUCUGGAGUGAAAGUCCUGCUUUCGAGGUGGGAAUUGCUUUGGAUACUGCCGCGCUUGAGUGCAGGAGAGGUUAUCGGAAUUCCCGGUGUAGCGGUGAAAUGCGUAGAGAUCGGGAGGAACACCAGUGGCGAAGGCGGGUAACUGGACUGCAACUGACGCUGAGGCGCGAAAGUGUGGGGAGCAAACAGGAUUAGAUACCCUGGUAGUCCACACUGUAAACGAUGAAUGCUAGGUGUAAGAGGUAUCGACCCCUUUUGUGCCGGAGUCAACACAAUAAGCAUUCCGCCUGGGGAGUACGGCCGCAAGGUUGAAACUCAAAUGAAUUGACGGGG
rnacentral:rRNA from 1 species